GGGUCCUGCCUCCCUUCCUGAAGCCUGACACCAGCCAUUUCAUGGCCCCAAAGCCUUGACGUCUACUCCCAGCAAGCUUAUCACAACUGUGGCCCCCUGAAGAAGAAUGCUGCUGAACGCUUACAUAAACAUUUUUCCACAAGGCGGAGGGAAAUUCAUUUCACUUGACCAGAAGCAGCACCUUUGUGGUGGCCAUCUGCCAGCCAGAUUUGAGAUGACAGUCUCAGGCUUCUUUCAAUGGAUGGAUGAGACUUCAAGUUCCUUGAGGAAAAUCACUGAGAGUUUGCAUGAACUAAAAGGAACUUCUUUGUGGUCAAACGCUGAAGAAGUAAUUGGAUUCCUCUCAAGGAAGAAUGGGUUUCAUCCUGUGGGAAACCAACAUCUCUCCACAUUACAGUGCCUGCCCUCUGGAAGCUGA
rnacentral:lncRNA from 1 species